rnacentral:rRNA from 1 species
CAAUAGCGUAUACUAAAGUUGUUGCAGUUAAAAAGCUCGUAGUUGAAUUUCUGGUCGCGAAAGGUGGUCCGUUCCUCACGGAAUGUGUACUGUCCAUUCGUGUCCAUUCUCGGAGUUAGUUUGUAUUACCUUAAUCGGUCGUGCAUACAACCUUCGUCAUUUACUGUGAGCAAAAUAGAGUGUUCAAAGCAGGCUUAUGCCGUUGAAUAUAUUAGCAUGGAAUAAUAAGAUAUGACUUUGGUCUAUUUUGUUGGUUUGCACUCCAAAGUAAUGAUUAAUAGGGAUAGUUGGGGGUAUUCGUAUUUAACUGUCAGAGGUGAAAUUCUUGGAUUUUUUAAAGUACGAACAAUUGCGAAGGCAUCUACCCAGGAUGUUUUUGUUGAUCAAGAACGAAAGUUAGGGGAUCGAAGACGAUUAGAUACCAU